CACGUGAUGAUAAAACCACCUCCCUGGUUCAUCCAAAUGUCGUUCAGACAUCGCACCUUGGCCGUCUGAUGUAGACAGUUGAAACCUGACCGGUUUGAUAUCCCAACCAUGAACUUGGUCGAGGUUACUUGUUUUUCUCCCACACUUUCUCAAAGGUUUGCCUAAAUGUAUCUUGAAAAGUACACUGUAUUUUCCUGGUGCAAAUUCAAAUCUGAUAUUUCCCACUGCUUCUAACCACCAUACUUGCCGGAGAUAAGCUAUUGAUCCAAAUCUGAAUGGAACAAAAGGUUCAAUAGAAUAUUAACCGUUGUAAGAACUAAGAAAUUAAGAAUGAAAAGAAUCAUAACAGAUAGAUGCGAGUGUUGGUAAGGGGACAAUGUUGAUCAAGUACUCUGUCACUUACUUAAUCUGUAGACUAUAUGUCUCUUAAGUGGAGAAAAUAUUGGAUCUCAUCUAAUCUACUUAUAGAUAAAUACUGUCCUCUUUUUUUUGUAGGGAUUAUCACCUAGAUGAAGCACUAGUGGAAGAAAUUAUCGUUUCAAUUGGUGGUUUAUUUAGAGGAAUAAAAUGAAGAAUUUAUUUUAAAAUUUAUGUUUCCUUUCCCUCAAAUUCAUUUUCUUUACUUUUGCAUUUAAAUAUAAAAGCCAAAUUUUUUUUUUGGCCGUCUGAUGUAGACAGUUGAAAACUGACCGGUUUGAUAUCCCAACCAUGAACUUGGUCGAGGUUACAUGUUUUUCUCCCACACUUUCUCAAAGGUUUGCCUAAAUGUAUCUUGAAAAGUACACUGUAUUUUCCUGGUGCAAAUUCAAAUCUGAUAUUUCCCACUGCUUCUAACCACCAUACUUGCCGGAGAUAAGCUAUUGAUCCAAAUCUGAAUGGAACAAAA
rnacentral:lncRNA from 1 species